AGCCCCGUGGUGUAGCGGUCAAUCGAAAUGAGCUAUUAAGCUCUUCAGGCCAAUCAUUUCGGUUUUUGGGACCGAGGACCCAGGUUCGAAUCCUGGCGGGGCUA
rnacentral:tRNA from 1 species